GUGCUUUUUGACAGCAUAUACACAAAGAUUGGAAUGAUAUGAAGACUAGAAUGUUUCUUGCAUAGGAUGACAGGCAAAUUCAUGAACUGCUCCAUAUGUAA
rnacentral:snRNA from 1 species